GAUCCUGGCUCAGAUUGAACGCUGGCGGCAGGCCUAACACAUGCAAGUCGAACGGUAACAGGAAACAGCUUGCUGUUUCGCUGACGAGUGGCGGACGGGUGAGUAAUGUCUUGGAAACUGCCUGAUGGAGGGGGGAUAACUACUGGAAACGGUAGCUAAUACCGCAUAACGUCGCAAGACCAAAGAGGGGGACCUUCGGGCCGUCUUGCCAUCGGAUGUGCCCACGAUGGGAUUAGCUAGUAGGUGGGGUAACGGG
rnacentral:rRNA from 1 species